rnacentral:rRNA from 1 species
GAGUUUGAUCAUGGCUCAGGAUGAACGCUAGCGGAGGCCUAACACAUGCAAGCCGAGCGGUAUUGUUUCUUCGGAAAUGAGAGAGCGGCGUACGGGUGCGGAACACGUGUGUAACCUGCCUUUAUCUGGGGGAUAGCCUUUCGAAAGGAAGAUUAAUACUCCAUAAUAUAUUGAACGGCAUCGUUUAAUAUUGAAAGCUCCGGCGGAUAGAGAUGGGCACGCGCAAGAUUAGCUAGUUGGUGAGGUAACGGCUCACCAAGGCGAUGAUCUUUAGGGGCCUGAGAGGGUGAUCCCCCACACUGGUACUGAGACACGGACCAGACUCCUACGGGAGGCAGCAGUGAGGAAUAUUGGUCAAUGGGUGCAAGCCUGAACCAGCCAUCCCGCGUGAAGGACGACUGCCCUAUGGGUUGUACACUUCUUUUGUAUAGGGAUAAACCUACCCUCGUGAGGGUAGCUGAAGGUACUAUACGAAUAAGCACCGGCUAACUCCGUG